rnacentral:rRNA from 1 species
CACGUAGGGUGCGAGCGUUGUCCGGAAUUAUUGGGCGUAAAGAGCUCGUAGGCGGUGUGUCGCGUCGGCCGUGAAAACCUGAGGCUCAACCUCAGGCCUGCAGUCGAUACGGGCGGACUUGAGUACUGCAGGGGAGACUGGAAUUCCUGGUGUAGCGGUGAAAUGCGCAGAUAUCAGGAGGAACACCGGUGGCGAAGGCGGUUCUCUGGGCAUGUCCUGACGCUGAGGAGCGAAAGUGUGGGGAGCGAACAGG